GAGAUAUUAUUAUAAUUUAGUAUAACUCUUUUUCGCAGAGUAGGUUUUAUAUCUUG
rnacentral:tRNA from 1 species